rnacentral:tRNA from 14 species
GGAAUAGCUCAAUAGUUCGAAGGUUCGACUUCGAAGCAUCAAGUGGCAGGAUCGAAUCCCGUCAUGU